rnacentral:lncRNA from 1 species
GCCGAAGGUCGCCGAAACACCGUCGCCGCCGUGGACAGUACCUCGCUGCCAUCUCGAUCUCGUCGCCGGCCAUCUUCCGUCACUGUCUGUCAUCACGUAAGUGUUGGUAAGAAUCGCCGUCGCCUUCUCUACCUCUCGGUGCCCUCUGUUUGCAUUGUUGUGUUGUGGUUCGCCGGCAACCGCCGCACCUAUGUCGUUCACCGGUGUAGUUUAUCCCUAGGGUCUUAAUUCAAUAUAAUCUAAUCCGUGGUUGAUCUAGCGCGUUGUCAUCUCCGUGUGUUGCUGUCGGAACGUUGUCAUCAUCCCUUCCUCUCCGAUCGCUUUGGUUCGGUGCGACUUCUAUCCGUUCUCUCUUUUCAAUGGUAUAUUAUUUCUUUUUAAUAUAUGUCAUCUACCAAAUAUAAUCUAAUCUUUUUCGGAGGUCGUUUUAAUCUUUUCUCUCAGUUAUAAAUCAUUUGUAAAUGGUUUAAUUAAUUUGGAAUAGUCUUUUCUUUAAUAUGUUUAAUUGGAAUUAAAUCUUAUAAAAUUCAUAUCUAAUUCAUAUGAAGUCGGAAUGAGGCCGUUCAAGUCUCUAAAUUCAUCUAAAAUCAUGAUUUACAUGUUUGUUUACAUUUUAUGUACUGUUUAUUUGGUUUUUAUUAGUUUUUUUCUCCGUUUUGCGUGUUAGCUUGUCGUUUCCGUUGUUGCGAAGGUUCGCGAGUGUGUUGGAAGUGGUUCUGAAGACUAAUUGAAGACUGAUUAUUGCAAGGCAAGUCACACAGAUCCCAAACAUGAUUCCUUUGAGCAUGUUGAUCCUAUAUUUAAAUUCUCUAUUUAUUUCAACAAUGCAUUUAUUUUCGAAUGUCACCGGGUGGUGUGAACAUAUUCCUUUGUUAUGGCCAAUUUGUAUUGAAUGCCCUAUUCCUUGAUACCUUGGGUAAUAAAUUGAUUAGCUUGAACCUUAUGUAUUGGUUUGGUUCAGCUAAAUGCUAUAUAUAUAAUUGCUUAGCCAUGCCUAGAAACAUUAGUUCAUUAAUAGGAUGAAUCCUACUACAUUAUUAUUUAUGGUUAUAUUUAAUGGUACCUCACGAUGGUUAAUCAUGUUAUAAUAAUUAAUUGAUAAUUAAAACUUGAUAAUGGUGGGUUGUGAGCACAUGGUUUUGAAGGUCGUGCUCAUGACAAUUAAGGACCGGUUCGCGAGCUACUGUUGUGAGACAUUAACCGUGCCAACCACAAGCCAGCGUGGGCAACGGCUUUACCUUUUGUAUAGCAUGGUUCAUUGCGGGGCACCAGACUGUGAAGCGGCGAGAAGUCCGUGGGGGUCGCUGGGGAGUCCAUGCCUCUGGUUAUUGAGGGGGUGAUUAUGAUCCAGGAACGGUGGCUGUGGUGGAUUGUGUUGUGCAAGGUACUGUCACAGUUCCUAUCCGAGAUAUCAUGGUGGUAUUGAGGCGCAUGGUAACAUGUCGUGGAGCUGUGUCUUGUGGGUACAGUGGUACAUCUCUGGCCAGAGUAAAACUAUUCGAAUAGCCGUGCCCGUGGUUAUGGGCGAGUUGAGCAAUGUUUUUCGUGAUUAGUCUCAUACCUCUCACAAUAAUUAUUGAUGCUAUAAUUGGUAAUAAUUUGCUUAGCUCCUGGUUUGGAGUUAGAUCUGUACAGCCGGGUAUGGUUGUUCAGAAUGGUUGGGCCUGAGCAGCAUGGGCGUAUUGUUCAGAGUUGAUUAAAAUUAAUGAUUAAAUUACUCUACUGUUUCACUACUCUUAAAUCUUUGCUAAAUGCUGCUUUUGCAAAUGAGCCUAUAUUAUGCCAUCCUUUGGUAUCCUUGUGCACUUGAAUAUUUGCUGUGUGACUUGUUGAGUAUGUCAUAUGCUUAUUCCUGCAAUAAUCAAUCAACCUUAGUUAAAGAAAAAGGAUCCAGAAGGAGAAGACGUUUGGCUUAUACCCCAGUUGAGCUGUCUGUGUGGGUGGAGCUGGAGCUUCGCUAGAUUUUAUUUUUCUGCUGCAGUUUUCUUCGUUGUGAGGACUAAGUGCCUCUUCAGUAAGUAUUAAUUGCUUUAGUUAUUUUGAUGGAUUUGUAUAUUAAAUUAUCAGUUUGUGUACCUCGGCUGAUUCCUGGACGGGGGUUUUAUGCACAAAUAAGUUCGG